rnacentral:rRNA from 1 species
UACGUAGGGUGCAAGCGUUGUCCGGAAUCAUUGGGCGUAAAGCGCGCGUAGGUGGCUUCGUAAGUCCGUUGUGAAAGUCAAAGGCUCAACCUUUGAAUGCCGAUGGAUACUGCGAAGCUAGAGUACGGAAGAGGCGAGUGGAAUUCCCGGUGUAGAGGUGAAAUUCGUAGAUAUCAAGCGGAACACCGGUGGCGAAGGCGGCCUUCUGGACAGUGACUGACGCUGAGGCGCGAAAGCGUGGGGAGCAAACAGG